rnacentral:rRNA from 1 species
CCUACGGGUGGCAGCAGUGGGGAAUAUUGCUCAAUGGACGAGAGCCUGACGCAGCGACGCCGCGUGAGGGAUGAAGGUCUUCGGGUCGGAAACCUCUGUCAGCAGGGGAAAACGGUCACUGUGCUAAUCAGCAGUGAAUUGACGGUACCUACAAGGGACGCACCAGCUAACUCCGUGCCAGCAGCCGCGGUAGUACGGAGGGUGCGAGCGUUAAUCGGAAUGACUGGGUGUAAAGCGGUCGUAGGCGGUAUGUCAAGUCAAGGGUGAAAUCCCCGCGCUCAACGUUGGAAUUGCCGUUGAAACUGGCAAACUUGAGUGUGUGAGAGGAGAGUGGAAUUCGAGGUGUAGGAGUGAAAUCCUUAGAUAUCAGGAGGAACACCAGUGGCGAAGGCGACUAUCUGGCACAUAACUGACGCUGAGGAGCGAAAGCGUGGGUAGCAAACAGGAUUAGAUACCCUUGUAGUC